rnacentral:rRNA from 1 species
AUUGAACGCUGGCGGCAUGCCUUACACAUGCAAGUCGAACGGUAACAGGUCUUUCGGGAUGCUGACGAGUGGCGAACGGGUGUGUAAUACACCGGAACGUGCCUAGUAGUGGGGGAUAACUACUCGAAAGAGUGGCUAAUACCGCAUGAGAUCUAUGGAUGAAAGCAGGGGACCUUUGGGCCUUGUGCUAUUAGAGCGGCCGAUGGCAGAUUAGGUAGUUGGUGGGAUAAAAGGUUACCAAGCCUACGAUCUGUAGCUGGUCUGAGAGGGCGAUCAGCCAAACUGGAACUGGGACACGGGCCAGACUCCUAAGGGAGGCAGGAGGUGGGAAUUUUGGGAAAUGGGCGAAAGGCUGAACCCGCAAUGGCGCGGGGGAGAUGAAGGGCUUUGGGGUGUAAAACUGUUUUUUUAGGGAAGAAAAAGUCUGGGGUUAACAACGUGGGUCUUGACGGUACCGGAAAAAAAAGCCCCGGCUAACUACGUG